rnacentral:rRNA from 1 species
UAAGGAAUAUUGGUCAAUGGACGCAAGUCUGAACCAGCCAUGCCGCGUGAAGGAUGAAGGUCCUCUGGAUUGUAAACUUCUUUUAUCUGGGACGAAAACGGGAUUUUUAUCUCAAUUGACGGUACCAGAGGAAUAAGCACCGGCUAACUCCGUGCCAGCAGCCGCGGUCAUACGGAGGGUGCGAGCGUUAUCCGGAUUUACUGGGUUUAAAGGGUGCGUAGGUGGGCUUAUAAGUCAGUGGUGAAAUCUCCGAGCUUAACUUGGAAACUGCCGUUGAUACUAUAGGUCUUGAAUUAUCUGGAGGUAAGCGGAAUAUGUCAUGUAGCGGUGAAAUGCUUAGAUAUGACAUAGAACACCAAUUGCGAAGGCAGCUUACUACAUAUAAAUUGACGCUGAGGCACGAAAGCGUGGGGAUCAAACA